rnacentral:rRNA from 1 species
CAGUAGCCGCGGGAAUACGUAGGGUGCAAGCGUUAAUCGGAAUUACUGGGCGUAAAGCGUGCGCAGGCGGUUUGUUAAGACAGAUGUGAAAUCCUCGGGCUCAACCUGGGAACUGCAUUUGUGACUGGCAAGCUAGAGUGUGGCAGAGGGGGGUGGAAUUCCGCGUGUAGCAGUGAAAUGCGUAGAUAUGCGGAGGAACACCGAUGGCGAAGGCAGCCCCCUGGCCAACACUGACGCUCAUGCACGAAAGCGUGGGGAGCAAACAGGAUUAGAUACCCCAGUAGUCCCUGUCUCUUAUACA